AUCAAAUUGCCAAUUCUAAUGAAUAUGAUAUAAGAAAUAUCGACAUGUUUUUCUCACAAUUCAUUUGCAACUAUUAAAGAGACAAUGAAUUAAACCUCAACAUAACAAAUUAAACUUCGUGUCCCUAAAAAUCAGAAUUUCCCUGCAAUAGUUUGUCAUGUUAUUAAAUUUGAAACCAUCGACAUUUCUGUGUUUAUUUCACUGAAUUGAACAAUUUGGACAAAGGAUGGUAUUUAUAUCAAAUAUAGAUGGAUUUAUUUUUGGGAAUUCACUUUUGUCACACGGUACAUAAGAGAUAUCGGUCAGAAGAAUGAGUUCAAUAGAAACACCCGCAUAUAGACAUGCCGACUGCUGUGAACCCCUAUCCACUAUAAAUGUACUUAGCAAUAUGUCAAUUUUAGAAUCAGCGUGAUUUACCAAAAAAGAAAUACACCAAAAACAUGUAUCCCACAUUGAACUCUUACUACACUGUACUAUAAGUUACUUAUCCGGCCAUUGUUUGGAUUAUUUCCGUUUUCCACUCAAACACUCCCUAUGGAGACUAUGGCGGCUGUGAUUUUGAUACUCUUUGCUGUAUUGUUUUUCGCUCUUCUCACGUGUGUCUUUUGUGUUAUACGAUCAAGGUUUAAGAAUCGAGAAAGCUUUACUGAAGGCCGAGAACAAUAUUCUUUUUCAAAAGUUACGGAGCUGCCAAAUGAAGACGACCGUCAAUCUCAAAUCUGAUUGGUCAUCCGAAGAUUAACACACCAAGCAUCCAUGGAUCCUGGAGUUAUGAUUCACUGAGCAAGGGAGAAAGUACAUUGCACGUGUUAUA